UACGAGAGGCCCAAACGUUAUUCGGAAUUACUGGGCUUAAAGAGUUCGUAGGCGGCAUUGCAAGUAGGGUGUGAAAGCCCUCGGCUCAACCGAGGAAUUGCGCUCUAAACUGCAGUGCUUGAGGAACCUAGAGGUGAGCAGAACAGAUGGUGGAGCGGUGAAAUGCGUUGAUAUCAUCUGGAAUACCGGAGGCGAAGGCGGCUCACUGGGAGUUUUCUGACGCUGAGGAACGAAAGCCAGGGGAGCGAGCGGG
rnacentral:rRNA from 1 species